rnacentral:rRNA from 1 species
GACGAACGCUGGCGGCGUGCCUAACACAUGCAAGUCGAACGGAGACGAUAGCAAUAUUGUCUUAGUGGCGGACGGGUGAGUAACGCGUGAGUAACCUGCCUUUCGGAGGGGGACAACAGCUGGAAACGGCUGCUAAUACCGCAUAACGUAUAUUGAGGGCAUCCUCGAUAUACCAAAGAUUUAUCGCCGAAAGAUGGACUCGCGUCUGAUUAGCUAGUUGGUGAGGUAAUGGCUCACCAAGGCUGCGAUCAGUAGCCGGACUGAGAGGUUGAACGGCCACAUUGGGACUGAGAUACGGCCCAGACUCCUACGGGAGGCAG